rnacentral:rRNA from 1 species
UUUGAUCCUGGCUCAGGAUGAACGCUAGCGGCAGGCCUAAUACAUGCAAGUCGUACGGGAACGUUCCCUUCGGGGGAGUGAGAGUGGCGCACGGGUGCGUAACGCGUAUGCAACCAACCCUCGUCCGGGGGACAGCCGGUGGAAACGCCGGGUAAUACCCCAUGUCGAUUCCAGUGGGCAUCCACGGGGAUUGAAAGACUUUGGUCGGGAGAGGACGGGCAUGCGUCCCAUUAGCUAGUCGGCGGGGUGACGGCCCACCGAGGCGACGAUGGUAGGGGAUCUGAGAGGACGGUCCCCCCACACUGGUACUGAGACACGGACCAGACUCCUACGGGAGGCAGCAGUAAGGAAUAUUGGGCAAUGGGGGAACCCUGACCCAGCCAUGCCGCGUGAGGGAAGUAGGCCCUACGGGUCGUGAACCUCUUUUGUCCAGGGACAAGGACGGCGUCGUGAACGCCGUUUGAGGGUACUGGAAGAAUAAGCAUCGGCUAACUCCGUGCC